rnacentral:rRNA from 1 species
GUGGAUUAGAUACCCCAGUAGUCCACGCCGUAAACGAUGGAUACUAGCUGUUCGGAGCAAUCUGAGUGGCUAAGCGAAAGUGAUAAGUAUCCCACCUGGGGAGUACGCACGCAAGUGUGAAACUCAAAGGAAUUGACGGGGGCCCGCACAAGCGGUGGAGCAUGUGGUUUAAUUCGAUGAUACGCGAGGAACCUUACCAGGGCUUAAAUGUAGAUUGACAGGACUGGAAACAGUUUUUUCUUCGGACAAUUUACAAGGUGCUGCACGGCCGUCGUCAACU